rnacentral:rRNA from 1 species
AGACUCCCUUAGUAGCGGCGAGCGAACGGGGACCAGGCCUGGUCUGAAAUAAAGCAAAGCAUCUGGAAAGUUGCGCCAUAGUGGGUGAUAGCCCCGUAGCUGUAAAAUGAAGACCUUUACGAGUAGGGCGGGACACGUGAAAUCCUGUCUGAACAUGGGGGGACCACCCUCCAAGCCUAAGUACUCCUUACCGACCGAUAGUGAACUAGUACCGUGAGGGAAAGAUGAAAAGUACCCCGAUGAGGGGAGUGAAACAGUACCUGAAACCGGAUGCUUACAAGCUGAUGGAGCUCUUCGGAGUGACAUCGUACCUUUUGUAUAAUGGGUCAACGACUUAGUGUUGUAUGCAAGCUUAAGCCGUUAGGUGUAGGCGCAGCGAAAGC